rnacentral:lncRNA from 1 species
CGAGCCCAAAACAACUUAGGAAAAGAAAAACAAAAAAAACUUCUUGUCGUAGAAUAGCAGACAGUCGCCUUCUCCUUCCAUCUUCGUCUUCACCAACUUCUUCUUCUUCUCCUCUCACCGUCUUCUUCUCCUUGACCGACUUCUUCUUCUUCCUCCCGACCAAAUGUUUCCCAAUCCGGAACCUUACCGCCUUAGAAAAGUCAAAUUUCACGGCUACCGCCAUGAAGCAGGAGGUGUCGAUGUCUCAUUGAAGCUAUACAGUAGGAGCUAGAACCCUAGGGGUCUAGUCUAGCACCUAAACGGGUAAGAUUUUAGUUUUACAAUUCAAUUUUGCUUCCUUUGUGCUUGUCUUGGACUCCACGUUCUUCUCCCUUUCCGGGCACUAUAAAUAGGGUGAGAUUCGUGUGUUCUUGACAUAGUUCGUCUUAGUCUGUUAAGCACCCAAAGAGUGAGAGAGGGUGAGGGUUUAGCAGUAGAGAAAGAGAAAGAGUUAAGGUUUGUCUCCUUUUCAAUUUGAUUCUUGACUAGGAUUUUGAUUUGGAAUUUAGGAUUGAUGUUCUGGUUCUUCUUAUAUUGGUGAUUGAUUUUCUUCUGAAUCCUUUUGUUAAUUCAUUCAUGUUGCAUAUGGGGUGCUUUAAGAGUUGUUAGUUCUUUGUUUCUGACAUUGCAAGUUGCUGUGUUUUGUUCUACGUAUAUGUUUCAUAUUCUCAAGGUCUUGUUAACAACUUGCAUUCUUAGAAAAGGUUUAGGAUGUGUUCUUAUUUUUAUCUAUUGCAAACUGACUUUGUAAAACAAAAACUGAUUUGAGUCAAAAUCAGUAAUUUUCCUGAUGCAGGUCUUCAACUUCCGAAAAUCAUAAGUAAAUGUAGAAAAAUCCUUUUUGUGCGAUUCCAGUUCCUGAUUAAUCUUUAGGUUGUCUUUUACAAAUGUUAAGAAGACACCAACUGUAAAUACCCAGCCAAACUAUGUUGUUUUCAGUCUGAAAGUUUACUGGUCAAGAAAUCUUGCUAUCAGACUUUUGUUGUUUUAGUUGUCCUCUUUGCUUUUAAUUUUUGUUGUUAUGUUAUAAAAUUAUGCUGAUAUAGAUAUCUGAUAUUGGUGUUCCUAUAUAUGUCUUUAAUUCCUAAAUUUUGAAAGUAGAAACCAAGGACUGGAGUUGUAUAAAGUUGCUUAAAAAUAUAGAAGUUAAGACUAUUGCAUGCUACUUUCUAUUGGUUGUUUUUGUGGUAAUUUAAGCUAGUCUUUUUAGUGCAAUAUUUGUGUUGUUUCUUCAUUCUGAAACAUUUUAGUGUCUAUAUUCAAUAAUCAGUAGUUUUUGAUACAUUUGAGUUCAUAUAGUAGCUUUAUUCUUUUCCAAACGGAAUAGAAACUGAUAAAGAUGAUUAUGGAACUUUAGUUUUGCAAGUUUGGGUGUCCUGAGUAAUUUCAGUGUUGCUGUUUGAAUUAGAGAUUCUUGUUUUCUCUUACACAGCAAGAGCUUAGAGUGACUAAGAAACCUAUAUGAGUAUUAAAACAUCCAUAGAACUGAUUAGGAACCUUAGACUUUGCAUGAACUGAAGUGACAUUUGAAUGGAAAAGUUUAUGUAACUUGUUCAUUUAGUUAACUUUGAGCAGCCAUAUCUUUUGAAUUAAUCAUGCAUUUUAGAAAUCAUUUGCAUGUAUUGAAAGUUCAUAUUCUUAGCUUGUUAUCUGGGUAGUUUCAUGCAAGUUCAUUUAGAAUUCGUUAGUCAGGGUUGGAGCUGAAAACAUAGCUGAACAUUCUGCAAAUCAGCUUUCUUGUAUUUUGGAGUCAGUCACCUUAUUGCUAAAAACCGUACAUUUAGGUUGGUUAUUUGAAGUUUGUUUCUUCAUAAAAGUGGUAGCAGACAUCCUAGAGAUUAUUCCAGAUUUUGAAUUACUUGAAAAUGAUUUUUCUAGAUUAAGAUAUGAUUUUUCAAAGUUGAGGGUCUGCAGUAAGAAAUUCUGCAGAUCAGUUUUCUGUGUUUUUGACCCAGCUGCAUUUUUACUAAUAUCUGUGCCUUUCAGUUGAGUAUUUGAAGUUUGUGUCUUCAUGAAAGUUGUAGUACACAUGUUAAACAUCAUUUAGGAGUUUGAAUCUCUUGAAAAGAAUUUCUGUAGAUUAAGUUAUGAAUUUUCGAAGUUGAAGGUCAGCUUUAAAUGGUUUCUGCAUUUGUUACUAUUUUACUGUUUAUUCGUUUUGAUUUCAAUGGUUUCUUUCAUUCAAACUUGUAUAGAUAUUGAGAUUAGAUCAUAAAGUUCCUAUAUGUGUCAUUAUUUUCUGAUAUUCAAGGUAGAAACCAUGAUUUUGGUUUGCUUAAAGCUAGCUAUAAGAUUUAGAACUACUUUUACUUGUUGCUUCUUUAUUUUGCUGUUUGUGUGAUGCUUUAGUUCAGUCCUUUACACUGAAAGUUUGGUGUGAUUUAUUUUUGUUUUAACACCAGAAUGUCUAUAUUAAAUACGUAGAAGUUUUGUAUCACAUAGAGUUCCUGUUUUACUUUUGAAAACAAAAUUUAGGCACUUUUAGCAAAAUUUUCUGAAAAUCCUGAACCUGUAGCUGAACUUUGAAAAUCCAUAACUAAUUCAAGAAAAAUCGUUUUAAGGUGAUUCCAACUCUCAGUGUUUCUUUACUGUGUCUACUAUAAAUAUUUAGAAGAACUUGAAGUCCAAUUCUAAACAGUUUUGUACAGUUUUUGAAGUUAAGGUGACUGGUUCAGAAAGCUAAAUUGUGUUGUUGUGUUUUGUGUGAAAAUGUUUUGGUUUGAUAUUAUAUCUUUUGUUUAGCAUCUGAGUCUUACUGUCAUUACUGAGUCUUAAUAUGAGUUCUAAAUGAAAUAGAGUAUUGGUAUAUGAAUGUUUAACUAAUGCUUGUAUCUUGUAUUAGGAGCUUGAUUGCUUCAGGUGAUCGGCAAAGGUAAGGGGAUCUGGGGAACCUCUAAUCAUUUGUCUUAUGUGCUUAUAUGUUUGUUGACAUGUAUGGUUUGGUGUAGUUGAGUAUUUGUGUGAAUUACAUGUUUGAAGUAUGAGUUGUUUAUAAUUCGAUGCAUCAUUCAUUGAAGUCAUUUGAAGGAUAAGGGUGGUGAAGGUGAUAUGAAAUUGAUCUUUUGCGUAGUUGAGUCCAAACCUCAGCAGGAACCAUGUCCCAUGUAUGCCCGUGGUUAUUGCGCAAUUAGUAUAAGAAUGAUGAGGGUAAUUCGGGACUAGAGAAAGGGGAAUGGACAAGAUGACUAGCAAAAGAGGGCUAGGGAUUGAUUUUGGUGAAGUUGUUAAUAUAGUUGAGUAUGCUAAGUCACCUUCUUGGUAAAAUACAUAGUAUGGGACAUGGGCUCAGUUUGUUCAGCUAUGUGGAUUAACUGGUGUAGAACAUUCAUUUAUGCAUAUCAUGUGAUCAUUGUAUGGGUAUCUUUUGUUUGGAGAGGAAUAGCUCCUUACUAAGCCGUAGGUUGAGCUCACCCCUUUACAGUCUUGCAGGUUAUGAAACAGGAGAACUACGACAAUUAGUGAUUGAAGUAAUUAGAGUUAUUUGGAUUUCGCAAUGUGUAAUCAUCAUAAGGAAGAGAGUUUCCUUAGAACUUUUGAGUUGUACAUAUCUUGAUUUUGAAAUGAAAAGUCAAUUUCUUUAAGGUGUCUAUUUUAUUUUCUAUACUUUAGCUUAUUUUUAAUUGAGAAAUUUUAAAUACACACCCCUAAUAUCUUAAUACACACCCCUUACUUAAUACACCACCUAUCAAGUUUUUCAUUUUAGUAUUAUACUUAAUACACAUCCCAAACUGCCUAAAAUACCCUUAAUUUAUGAAAUAUUCCAUUAUUUAAUAUAAUUAAUAUAUAUUUACUAU